GUAAACAAUUCUUAUUGUUAUGAAGGAGUUUAAAAGCUCCUCGGAUUAUUUAAAUGUCAUGGGGAAAAAAAAAAAUCAAACUUAAGAAAAAUCUCCAUUUCAUUUUUCUAGCAUAUGAACUGUGUUUGAAGAAAAAUCCUGGAUGAGUAUCACCAGAGGUGUUACUAAAGGAGCAUCAGCUACUCUACAGGCAAGAGAAGGAAUUUAUUUGUGCUGCUUCCACCUCAGCAGUUUUGCAGUGUCAGAUAUGUGGUAUCAAAUCUCCAGAGGAAACACAAAGGGGAGUGCAGCUGGUUCAUUCCUGACACCCUAUGGUGCUCAGAACUAGAGGAUGAUUGUGAUGGCAGCAGAACAAAGCCAAGGUCCUAAAAUACAAACCUGACAACCACAUUGGAAUUCAACCUGUAUUUGAAUACUUCGUUAGAUUUAGUGAAAAAAACAGAGAAUUUAUGUAGAUGUGACUUCAAUGUGUUUGGACCCUGAUUGACUACUGAAGGAAAUCCCUUGCUGGUCUUAGCCUUUUGGAUACAACUGCAGGAAGUAUGUACCUACACCUUUGUAAGUUGCAGUUUAUGUGUUUCAAUUUUGUGUCAACAAAAUGAAACUAUGAAAAGGUAAGGGAGGCCACCAAUAAACCAGGACAAGCAAUCA
rnacentral:lncRNA from 1 species